CCACACCAUUUUAAACCCUAUUCCUCCUAUCUCUCUCUCUCUCUCUCUCCGUCUCUCUCGAGCUAAGAUUCGCUUUCUCUCUCUAGAUUUUGAUCUAGAUCGUUUUCAGCUGGUAUUUGCUAGGGUGGGGUGAGGACUUUAUUCUGGGAAUGGAGGAUGCCAAAGAGCAACGAGUGGAUGAGUCUGAAAAAUCGCCACAGGAGG